GCUUGACCACUGUGAAUAGAGAUUCGGGGACCAUGGGGUGCGGACAUCUCGGAAGUCAUCUAUUUCAUUCAAUUCAGUUAUGCAACCAUGACAAUGGCUGCUGGCUUGUGUGUACGGCAUCGAGGACCAUCCAGUCCGGGUCCAGACUCCCUCCUGUGUGCAGACUGUCAUCAGGUGGCCACAGAGAAACCCAUGAUGCCAGAAGAAAUCAGAAGGUGAUAGGGAGGAAGGAAGGUUUUUUUUUUCAUCAAAAAUUUUUAUGAAAAUGCUAAACUGGGUCUAAUCACCAGGAAACAAAACCCAUAUGGAUAUAAAAUAUUAAGGAUUUUUUUCUGCGACAAUUCCAAAAUGUCAAGACCAAGAAGGACAAUAAACAGCUUCCCUGGAAUGCACCUGACCCCUGGGCAUGCGACACCAGCGGCACCUCCCAGACACCCUGUGGCUCAGGAAGGCCGUGAUGGAUGACUUGAGACUGACAGAAUGGAAACCGCUGGAGCAAACCCAGCCAACCUGUUUCUUCUGCAGGACUUCUCAGUGACUGGCAGU